rnacentral:rRNA from 2 species
AAACGCUUGGCGGCGUGCCUAAUACAUGCAAGUCGAACGAACUCUGGUAUUGAUUGGUGCUUGCAUCAUGAUUUACAUUUGAGUGAGUGGCGAACUGGUGAGUAACACGUGGGAAACCUGCCCAGAAGCGGGGGAUAACACCUGGAAACAGAUGCUAAUACCGCAUAACAACUUGGACCGCAUGGUCCGAGCUUGAAAGAUGGCUUCGGCUAUCACUUUUGGAUGGUCCCGCGGCGUAUUAGCUAGAUGGUGGGGUAACGGCUCACCAUGGCAAUGAUACGUAGCCGACCUGAGAGGGUAAUCGGCCACAUUGGGACUGAGACACGGCCCAAACUCCUACGGGAGGCAGCAGUAGGGAAUCUUCCACAAUGGACGAAAGUCUGAUGGAGCAACGCCGCGUGAGUGAAGAAGGGUUUCGGCUCGUAAAACUCUGUUGUUAAAGAAGAACAUAUCUGAGAGUAACUGUUCAGGUAUUGACGGUAUUUAACCAGAAAGCCACGGCUAACUACGUGCCAGCAGCCGCGGUAAUACGUAGGUGGCAAGCGUUGUCCGGAUUUAUUGGGCGUAAAGCGAGCGCAGGCGGUUUUUUAAGUCUGAUGUGAAAGCCUUCGGCUCAACCGAAGAAGUGCAUCGGAAACUGGGAAACUUGAGUGCAGAAGAGGACAGUGGAACUCCAUGUGUAGCGGUGAAAUGCGUAGAUAUAUGGAAGAACACCAGUGGCGAAGGCGGCUGUCUGGUCUGUAACUGACGCUGAGGCUCGAAAGUAUGGGUAGCAAACAGGAUUAGAUACCCUGGUAGUCCAUACCGUAAACGAUGAAUGCUAAGUGUUGGAGGGUUUCCGCCCUUCAGUGCUGCAGCUAACGCAUUAAGCAUUCCGCCUGGGGAGUACGGCCGCAAGGCUGAAACUCAAAGGAAUUGACGGGGGCCCGCACAAGCGGUGGAGCAUGUGGUUUAAUUCGAAGCUACGCGAAGAACCUUACCAGGUCUUGACAUACUAUGCAAAUCUAAGAGAUUAGACGUUCCCUUCGGGGACAUGGAUACAGGUGGUGCAUGGUUGUCGUCAGCUCGUGUCGUGAGAUGUUGGGUUAAGUCCCGCAACGAGCGCAACCCUUAUUAUCAGUUGCCAGCAUUAAGUUGGGCACUCUGGUGAGACUGCCGGUGACAAACCGGAGGAAGGUGGGGAUGACGUCAAAUCAUCAUGCCCCUUAUGACCUGGGCUACACACGUGCUACAAUGGAUGGUACAACGAGUUGCGAACUCGCGAGAGUAAGCUAAUCUCUUAAAGCCAUUCUCAGUUCGGAUUGUAGGCUGCAACUCGCCUACAUGAAGUCGGAAUCGCUAGUAAUCGCGGAUCAGCAUGCCGCGGUGAAUACGUUCCCGGGCCUUGUACACACCGCCCGUCACACCAUGAGAGUUUGUAACACCCAAAGUCGGUGGGGUAACCUUUUAGGAACCAGCCGCCUAAGGUGGGACAGAUGAUUAGG